UUGAAACCAGGAUUAGAUACCCUGUUACUCUUUGUUUUAAAUCAAAAUACCGGGGUACUAAAUAGUUAUUGUCUUAAAACUCAAAGGAUUUGGCGGUAAUUUAGUCUAUUUAGAGGAACCUGUCCUAUAAACGAUAAACCACGUAAAAUCUUACCUUACUUAGUAAAUUCAGCUUGUAUACCGUCAUUAUUAGGUAACUUUGAUAAAAUUUAGUUACUGCAAUAAUUUUUUUUUAGUAUAUUAGAUCAAGGUGCAGCUUAUAGUGGGGAAGUGAUGGGUUACAAUAUAACAAAUAUAAACGGAUUAAAGAAUUAAAUUUUUUUAUAAAGGAGGAUUUAAUAGUAGAGAGGUUUUAAUAAGUCUUCUCGAUUUUAGCUCUAGAUUAUGUACAUAUCGCCCGUCGCAA
rnacentral:rRNA from 1 species